rnacentral:lncRNA from 1 species
CUCCCGUGGGGGAAGGCAGGGUGCUGAUGCCUUCCCCGGCGGCAGAGAGCAGCUCUCCACCGUCUCUCUCCGCCAACCCCGCGCUUGGCCUGGCGCCCGGCCGCCUUUCACUGCCGCCUUUUCAUGCGCCUUAAUUCACUGGCGUUUCCUUUCUUGCUCCUUGCGAGGAACAGAGGGAGAGCUUGUUCCAGCAGACGGGCCCCAUCCGCUCCACCCACCCGGCUCUGCUGGAGCAAAAAGGGCUGGAAAAGAAGGAUGGAGGCGAAAGGGGUAUCUCCCACCCCUCCGGUGGCCCCGCCGUGCCGCCCCGCCGGCGUGCUGCUUCCCAGCAAAUACGGUCUGCAGAGAUGCCAUCGGCCCCGUCUGCUCUUUGGGUGCAUCCUGCCCAGGUGCAAGCUUGGCACCCAAAGCCUUGGGUGUCACGGGGUGGUGAUUCCUCCCUGUAGCCAGACGGGGCACGGGGAUGAAAUGAUUUGCCAGUGGAGAAUCAGGGCAGGGUAAUGAUCCUGGUCCUGCUGCCAUAAGGAUGACUUUCCUCCCAGGAAGAGCCAAACCCUCCUACAAGUACAGCCUUGUCUCGGGCAGGGGCCAGAUCCUGCUCGGUGCGGAGCUCACCUCCCAGCUCACCCAGCCGUGCCGCUUUCUUUUGCAAAUGCCCUAAACCUUGACAACGACCUAUUUUCCCAUCUGUUGCGCAAAGUUGCUUUCCUAGAAAGAGGCUUUUAUAACACACAGUCCAACCAGCCCAGCUCUCCUCCCCGUGUCUAACAGCAAGGCUUCGAUGGCCGGCAGGUUUAGCUUAGCUCAAACUCACUCCCCUUGGUGAGCCAGGAGUCCCGAUGGGAUGAUACCUGAAACUAUCCUGAGACUGCCAGCCCGGUUUGCUGAGACAUCAGAUAAACAAUAACUCUGCUUUCAAGUCCACUCCUCAAACUUUCUUUUUCUUAUUAGUGCUUUUCGUCCAUCUGCUCCUGCUCCAGCAUUCAGCAAAGCUCGGAGAAAGCUUUUCCUUUCUCCAGACAUUUCUCCCCUGUUCCCAUCCUCAUCUCUCACUGGCAGUGAAAACAUUUGUUUUCUUUUAAAUUUCACAUUUUUAAAAAGAGAUUUUUUUUAAAUAAAAUAAUUCUCAUCCUUCCUCCGUAAUGCUUC